rnacentral:misc_RNA from 1 species
GAUGAAGAACGUAGCGAAAUGCGAUACUUGGUGUGAAUUGCAGAAUCCCGUGAACCAUCGAGUCUUUGAACGCAAGUUGCGCCCGAAGCCAUUAGGCCGAGGGCACGCCUGCCUGGGUGUCACACGUCGUUGCCCCCCCAUCUACUCCUUCGGGAUUGCGGGGGGCGGAUGAUGGCCUCCCGUGCGCCUCGUCGCGCGGUUGGCAUAAAUGCCAAGUCCUCGGCGACGCACGCCACGACAAUCGGUGGUUGCGAAACCUCGGUUGCCCGUCGUGUGCGGUCGUCGCGCAUCGAGGGCUCGAAAAAAUUGCCGGGCUCCGGCUCGGCUUUCAACGCGACCCCAGGUCAGGCGGGGUUACCCGCUGAAUUUGAGCAUAUCAAUAAGCGGAGGA